GAUGAACGCUGGCGGCGUGCCUAAUACAUGCAAGUCGAGCGAACAUAUGAGGAGCUUGCUCCUCUGACGUUAGCGUCGGACGGGUGAGUAACACGUGGAUAACCUACCUAUAAGACUGGGAUAACUUCGGGAAACCGGAGCUAAUACCGGAUAAUAUAUUGAACCGCAUGGUUCAAUAGUGAAAGACGGUUUUGCUGUCACUUAUAGAUGGAUCCGCGCCGCAUUAGCUAGUUGGUAAGGUAACGGCUUACCAAGGCAACGAUGCGUAGCCGACCUGAGAGGGUGAACGGCCACACUGGAACUGAGACACGGUACAGACUCCUACGGGAGGCAGCAGUAGGGAAGCUUCAGCAAUGGGCGAAAGCCUGACGGAGCAACGCCGCGUGAGUGAUGAAGGUCUUCGGAUCGUAAAACUCUGUUAUUAGGGAAGAACAAAUGUGUAAGUAACUAUGCACGUCUUGACGGUACCUAAUCAGAAGGCCACGGCUAACUACGUG
rnacentral:rRNA from 1 species